AAGCCCCGGGGCACCUUAUGGCCCUACUUCAAACUUGCAUUUUGACGUGUAAACACCUCGAGACU
rnacentral:tRNA from 1 species